AAGACCAUAGUCUAAUCUCAUGACAUAUGAGUUGCAUUCAUAAAGUGUUUUUCAAUAAACUGGUUUUG
rnacentral:tRNA from 2 species